AGACCAUAAAAACUCAUGUAAUCCAUCAAGAUGUAAACAUGGAGGAACUUGUAUAAAUAAUGGUAAAAGUUCUACGUGUGCUUGUAAGACUGGUUUCACUGGAAGUUUUUGUCAAACAGGUAUGCAUAAAUUAAUUAGAGGUCAUCAAAUAGUUUACCUCAAUUCUUUUUCACGAACGUGACCUACCGAAUUAAACUAUUUACCUAGUUUUUGAUAACAUGAACAACACGGCGGAUACCACAUGUGGAGCAAAAUCAGCUUACGUUUCCGGAGCACCUGAGAUCACCCAAGUUUAUAGUGGGGUUUGUGUUGCCAAGUCUUUAGUUUUCUAUGUUGUGUUACGGGUACUAUUAUUUGUCUGUGUCUUUUUCUUUUAUUAGCCAGUUAUUUUUACAAACUGAAAGCAACGUGAUCUGAAGCGAUGUUUUUGAAAGUUUAUAGUCACUGGGUUAGAGAAGUUGUUGUUACAAAGUACGUAUAAAACGGGAAAAUAACAAACAAACAAAAUUAGACUACGUGCAGCUAUAAUAUGAAACUAUCAUCCAUUAUCAAUACGUAACUACCUCCUUUGAAUAUGGAAUAGAAGAAGAAUGUUUCAGACAAGUAUUCAAGUGUCCAGUGAUCAAUUUUAGCUAUACGUUCUAAAACUUCAGUUUAUAUUAAAAAAAAAAAGAAGGUUUCAACUCCCGCUGUUGACCUUAGAUUGAUUUGACUUUAUUAUGUCCUUUUUCCAUUAUCUAGCUCUUGAACUGUUUCGGUUCUUACACAUCCUUGGCUUUCUAAUAUUUUAGCGGUGAGCUUCCCUGAUGUAGUAAAUACUAUUAUUACGAAAAAUCGCUUCAGUCGAACGAAGUUAAAAAAGUGCUGUUCCCACACUUUACAGCACUUAGUCAAUACAUAUGCUGAUAAUUUUUUAGUUCCCGAGGGUAUCAGCAGCUCAGUUGUCAGUUGUACUUCGAAGCUGGCAUAAUUUAUAACAAACCUUUAUAAAAUAGUCCGUUUAAAAAAUAUGAAAUUAAUGAGUAAUGUGUUAAUUUAAAAACCGCAUGUUUUUUUUUAGAUAAAAACGAGUGUAGACAUUCUCCUUGUAUGCAUGGUGGAAGAUGUAUAGAUGGAAUUGUUAGCUACAGUUGUACAUGUAUACCAGGUUUUACGGGUGUCAGAUGCGAAAAAGGCAUUUAAUGUUACUUAUAUAUAAUUAUAUUCACGUGUUAUUUAUAAUAUAUAUAUUGCUCCUCUGCAUCCAUUUUUUGGCUAUAUAAGAAUAUCAAUGGUGUUCUUUUCAGUAAUACUGUGGUAGGGAGGAAACUGACAUUCAAAACGAAAUAUGUUUACGCGAAGGAUGCAACGAAUUUAUUAUUUAGUGAUCAAAUUAAACUGUAACAGUAUUAUAGGUUCAACCAGGCCGAUAAUUUGGUUCGACAGACCCGAACUGUGUCUACAAAAUAGUCAUCAUUAGCGCUCGAAUAUACAUAAACAUAUAGAUUUAGCUACUCUUUCAAAAAGAUCUAACACAGGAAAUUGAAAAGCUAUGACAUUUUAUUUCUGAAGUAUCUCGUACAUUACUUCUGUCCUCCUUUCAACCUGAACUUUCGUUACCUUCUUAUAAUUGCCUGCAUUUGACAAUUAAGAUAUUUAGAUAAAACUAUUCCACGAUUUCUACAUCCUGUCUUACCUUAUUUAAAGUGAAGUGGGAAUUAUCUGGUAAUCUUCCUAAUGAAAAGUAAAAAUAAAUACAAUACAAGAUAUAAAAUACAGUUAUGAUUACCUUUAUCUAACUGAUACAGAUAGGUACCUUGGGUUAUAAUAUUGCUUUUAUCUUUAUUUUCCUCUACCAAAUCCAAAGCUUGCCACAAAAUAUCGUCCUUUUUACAACCGUCCAUAUUGACUACUGCAUACAAGAAGCAUGAAUUAGUAUCUUGUUUGUAAUGAGAAUAAUUGAAACGGUCAACCUUAACCUGCUGAUCCAUAUUAGCAAAUGGAUUUAAUUGAAAUAUGCGGAACAACUUUGACAUUUGUAAAACAUACUCAAUUGUCAAAGUUUGAACGAAGAUAACCAAAGAAAGGUUACUAGUGGGUCUCAUGUAAUAAUUGUUUUUUACAAAUCAUGGUUUGAUAUUGUCAACUUGAUCAAUAUGCUAUCUUUUUUUCCUAUUUUAUAAUCAAUGUUAACAAAUAUAGAGUUUAAAAUGGGGUGUAAGUUAGUUAUACACCUCGGGAUACGGCGUGUCUGGAUAAGAAACCCCUCAUGCCUCCGGCCAAUGGGAAUUCUUAUCCAGACACACCUAUCCCACGGUUAAUAACUAUUACGAAAAAUCACUUCAGUCGAACGAAGUAAAAAAAGUGCUGUUCCCACAUUUUACAGCACUUAGUCAAUACAUAUGCUGAUAAAUUUUUAGUUCCCGAGGGUAUCAGCAGCUCAGUUGUCAGUUGUACUUCGAAGCUUGCAUAAUUUAUGACAAACCUUUAUAAAAUAGUCCGUUUAAAAAAUAUGAAACUAAUAAAAGAACAAAGUUUUCGACUCAAGUCAAAGUUGACCUUAAAUGAAUUUUGCUAUUUUUGAAGGUCCCUUUUGGUAGCUCUUGAACUAUUUCAGUUCUUAUUCAUCCCAUUCAUAUAUUCUGCUUUCAGCGUUCUUGAUGAAGGUAAAAAUAGAAAAGCACUUCGGAAUCAAUAAAACAAAUAGGAAAUAUAAAAAGCACACACAGAAUAAAGUGUGAACCUUUUUUCCCGCCAUCUUUUAACAAAAUUUAAAAAUCCUGAAAAAUGCUUCACUUUAAUAAGAAAAGUGUGAACAAUGUAUAUAACUGAGUAACGUGAUAAUUCAAAAACCGCUUGUUUCGACUGAAGUGAUCUGUACAUUUUUUUUAGAAAUAAACGAGUGUGAACCUUCUCCUUGUAUGCAUGGUGGAAGAUGUAUAGAUGGAAUUGGUAGCUACAGUUGUACAUGUAUACCAGGUUUUACGGGUGUCAGAUGCGAAAAAG
rnacentral:lncRNA from 1 species